rnacentral:piRNA from 1 species
UGUUAAGAUUUGCUUUUCUGGUUGAUGGC